rnacentral:tRNA from 1 species
AUUUGAAUAGUUUAAUUAGAAUAAUAAUUUGUGGAAUUAUAGGUAUAUUUUAUUUCAAAUA